rnacentral:rRNA from 1 species
GAAUAUUGGACAGUGGGCGAAAGCCUGAUCCAGCCAUGCCGCGGGUGUGAGGAAGGUCUUCGGAUUGUAAAGCACUUUAAGUUGGGAGGAAGGGCAGUAAGCGACUACCUUGCUGCUUUGACGGUACCGACAGGAUAAGGCCCGGCUAACCACGUGCCAGCCGCCGCGGUAAUACAGAGGGUGCAAGCGUUAACCGGAAGUACUGGGCGUCAAGCGCGCGUAGGUGGUUCGUUAAGUUGGAUGUGAAAUACCCGGGCUCAACCUGGGAACUGCAUCCAAAACUGGCGAGCUAGAGUAGGGCAGAGGGUGGUGGAAUUUCCUGUGUAGCGGUGAAAUGCGUAGAUAUAGGAAGGAACACCAGUGGCGAAGGCGACCACCUGGGCUCAUACUGACACUGAGGUGCGAAAGCGUGGGGAGCAAACAGG